CCUGGAGUGCGAAUCUAAUGCGAAAUGUAACGGGAUGGAAGCUCACCCGCUUGCAAAUCCCGUUUCUUAUUUCUUUUGAAGAUAGGCAGGAACAUGGGCAGGAUGUUUAUACAGCGAAAUAUAAACAGCUUCUCGGGGGUUCUUUAAUAAAAAGAAAUCAGAAAGAAAACUCCUCGGUAGUUCGCAUACGGCCCCUUUCUGCACCCUAUAAAACAGCGCCGCUUGCCUGCUUUGUUGUCGGUUUAGAUUCUUGUUGUUGUUGUUGUUGUGCUGUAAAUAGGUGCUGAUUUUUCAAGCGGUGCCCACAUUUUGAUCCUCGAAGUAAUGGUUGGCCACACACACCCACACACAGAGUCACUCUCCACUUCAUCAGAGCCCCCCCCGCUCCCCCUCUCAGUCCGACCAUCUUUUCAUCAGUAAAGCUGUCACUCACUCAUCAAGAGAUCUGUCCACCAAAGGAGACAUGGAGGCUUCUUGCAUUGAUCACCUCUUCCUUCACUGGAUGGGUGGUCAGACACGCAGUCUCUGCUACCAGGAUUUGGUUAGAAGAGUAAGGAUAGCCUAUGGCUGUCAAUCAAGAUGAGGUUCUGGGUUUAGUCUCAAUCAAACAAGGAUGAAUCAGAAGGCAACGGGGACCAAUUGGCAAAAGCAGUAACUUCUGAUGAUUAACCGGUGCAGCAGCAGCAGCAGGAAGGAUGGUCCACUAAUUAAAGCAGUAGUGUAAGUCUAGAGAGAACUGGGCUCAAAGUCCCUGCUCUGACACAUAUUUCCUGUAUGACCUUGGGCAUGUCACUUAGCCUUUUUGUGCUUCAGUUCCCCAUGUGUAAAAUGAGGUAACAACAGUUCCUUUUGUCGCACAAAUAUGUUAAAGACUGUGAGGUGCUCAGUGAUGGAGACCAACGACAGCAGAAAGGGAUAUUUCCAGGGUCUGCUGCACAAGUUGUAAUAGCUUCUGAGCCACUCUUCUGGCACUUAUGUGACUGAUAAAUUAUGUCCUCAUUGACUUUGGCAGCAGCCCCGAGGCAAUGUUGUCUGGGAGCGACAGCUGAUUGCUUUUAGACCAUUUCUUCACUGUACUAUGAAUAUGUUCAAUAUGGUCAAGCUACAGAGACCCUCCCCAUGGUCCAUUUUUGAUUACACGUUGGCAUUAUCUGAGUGCAUUGUUAAUGUGCAUUUUACAAAUAAAUGUACCUUAAAGCAGAAAUAUAGGCCCGAGAGUCAAGUGUUCUCAGGUCCAGUCUUCAUUUUGCCAUGGCUUUGCUCUGGGACAAAAGAUUUUACGGUCCCGGCGGAUCCAUACAAUCUCCUUAACUGUGUAAAAUGAAGAGCUGAAAGUGCGUUGAAAGGGUUAAUGAAUGAGCGCUUGAAAAGUAUUUUGACAUUUUGGGUACACUGUUGCAGAGUACUGUAAGCCGUGUGGCGCAGGAGCUGUCAUUUACUAGGGUUUGACACUCUGUGCACCAUCUGGCCUCAAAAGCAUAGCCGCAUUAUAAAUGACACAUAUUAAUAAGGGAUCAUCGAAGCAUAGAACACUAGAACUGGAAAGGACCUUGAGAGAUCAUCAAGUCCAGUCCCCUGCCCUCACGGCAGGACCAUGAACCAUCUAGAUCAUCCCUGAGGUCUAAAAUUAGGUUCUCUCUAAACACUGAUUCAAAUCUUAGUUUCUAAGAAGUUGUAGUUAGUAUAACACUUAAGAAAAAAGACGACUUGCUGGGGCACCUCCCAUAGACACCCUAAGGGUAUGUCUGUACUACAGGGAAGAUCGAAGCUGCCGCUGUCGAUC